GGGCGCAUAGCUUAGUGGUAAAGCGUUACAUUGACAUUGUAAAGAUCGAAGGUUCGAUCCCUUCUGCGCCCA
rfam:Parcubacteria (Giovannonibacteria) bacterium GW2011_GWA2_45_21 TX06_C0017, whole genome shotgun sequence.